UCUGCAACCAAUGUCACAGGUCCCAUCACCAUUACGAUUCUGCAUUAAAAUUAUGACAAAGUUCAAUUUGUCUUCCAUCAAAUCGAAGCGUCUCUUUAAUUUGAUACGUUUGUUGUUUUCAAUUAAUGCUUUCUUAUUAUUCUUUAAGUGAUCCCAUUGUUAUCAAGAUGAAUAGUAAUAUCGAUUACAAUCAUUCUUCGGCAUCGAACCAAUCAUUAUGAUGAAAGUUUAAGUAGAUAUUCAAAUAAAUGCAAUAUCGAUAUCGUAAAUGAAAUUUCCACUCAUUUUACACGAAUAAAUUUUGAUUCGUAGAAUGAAGAAAGUUGUACCAAGGGAGGGAAAACUCGUUCCAAGGGAGAAAACUGUUUAUUCCAGUCUUGGAAAGUCGAACUACCUGUUUUUCAGGAUAUUUCAACUAUUCGACUCGGCGAAAUGAGUUCUUAGAUCAUUAAGUCGUAACGAUAAUUUGGCCUGGCUACGUCAUUCAAGCUUCAUCCUCCCAUUAUUGCUGAUGUAGAUACGUGAAAGCAUGCAGGCACAUCCGCAAUUCCGUACCACUACGACUUUGAUUCUUUUCACCACCUUGGACCAGACUAAAAAAAAAAUAAAAACAAGUGCAGCUAGUGAUCGGAUUUAAUCCGAGAGCCAACCUCGGGAAACACGUUCAAGAGUACCGGCCAGUCAAUGAAGACGCACUGGGUUAAGGUCAACUAUACGAUAGUUGUCGUCGUAUCGUGAGCACAGAAAAUCAAAAAAAAAAAUUAAAUUGGUUGUUUCAACAACCACCUUAAUGGAUAUAUCCAAAUUAUCUAUUUUCAGUUUUCCCGAAAUGGAUUGGAUUAUUUUCAGCGUGUGGGACUACGCUAUAUCGAAUAUUUAUCACUUCUGUAUUUGUUUAUACUUAAUUCGUUUAUUCUCAUUUUGGACUAUCAUUUCUAACAUACGUGAUUACUUUUCUGAUUUUUCAAAAUUUUCCAUCGUAUAAGUAUCUCGGAUUAUUUUAUAGUUUCUUCUUAAUAAAUAAAUAUGUAUUCUUCAAUUACAUAAAUUAUGUAUAUUGGCACAAUGAA